rnacentral:rRNA from 1 species
CCUACGGGACGCACCAGUGGGGAAUAUUGCACAAUGGGCGCAAGCCUGAUGCAGCCAUGCCGCGUGUGAAGAAGGCCUUCGGGUUGUAAAGCACUUUCAGCGGGGAGGAAGGCGGUGAGGUUAAUAACCUCAUCGAUUGACGUUACCCGCAGAAGAAGCACCGGCUAACUCCGUGCCAGCAGCCGCGGUAAUACGGAGGGUGCAAGCGUUAAUCGGACUUACUGGGCGUAAAGCGCACGCAGGCGGUCUGUCAAGUCGGAUGUGAAAUCCCCGGGCUCAACCUGGGAACUGCAUUCGAAACUGGCAGGCUAGAGUCUUGUAGAGGGGGUUAGAAUUCCAGGUGUAGCGGUGAAAUGCGUAGAGAUCUGGAGGAAUACCGGUGGCGAAGGCGGCCCCCUGGACAAAGACUGACGCUCAGGUGCGAAAGCGUGGGGAGCAAACAGGAUUAGAUACCCUAGUAGUC